ACGCCUCCGUCCUCUAUCCCCUAUGCUGGUCAUGACGCAGGUCCUGCCGCCUGGGGAUCCUGAGCCCGCGGCGCGCUCACCCUUCUCCUUGGUCAUGAUGGAGAUGAGCGGCAUCCGCGGGCGGUCACUGAACACUUCAGCCUGCUGCACUAGCGCCUCGCGCACGCUGUGGAAGUCGCUGAGGACCACCACCAGACGGUGGCCGAUGAAGAAGCUGAAGAUGUUGCCAUAGACACGGGCCAUCCUGGCCAGGUACACAUGCUGGCCCACCGUGUCCGUCUGGCUGCCCGAGCCCAGCCAGAACUGCGGUCGUAGAAAGCGCGGCACCAGCAAGUGCCCGAAGUUACCCACGAGUGGCCGAGGCUUGGGCCCCGGAGGGAUGCCGCAGGCGCGUUGCCGCCGCAGCCAAACCCAGCCUAGCAGCACCGCCAGCAGGCAAAGUAGCAGCGCGCCUCCUGUCGCCCGCACGUGCAGUCUAGCUCCCGGCUGCUCCCCUGCCGCGGGACGCUGGUCCCCGAGCGAGGACAUGUCCCAGGUACCGCCUGCAUCUAGCUCCGCUGCAGACGCGCCGGCACCGCGACAGUAGCCGGCUACAUGACUCAAGGUCAACCGCGAGGCAGGGCAAGGCACGCCCUUCCGAUUGGCUGCGCCGCGUGCCCCUCUCGGGAUCCUCCAGUCAGCUGCUCCUGCAUAAGCACACGUGUGGAAGUCAGAGACGCAUCAGGGGGACGUCAGUAUUCUACACCUGUGGGUCCCAGGGCUCAAACUCGGCAGACUUGGCUGUAAUCAUCUCUCCUGAUGCCCCAUCUUGCAGGCCCCCAAAGGGAAACUUCACUUGUUUUCUUUGCUUUCCAC
rnacentral:lncRNA from 1 species